rnacentral:rRNA from 1 species
AUUGAACGCUGGCGGCAGGCCUAACACAUGCAAGUCGAACGAGUGGCGGACGGGUGAGUAAUGUCUGGGAAACUGCCUGAUGGAGGGGGAUAACUACUGGAAACGGUAGCUAAUACCGCAUACCAUCAGAUGUGCCCAGAUGGGAUUAGAUUGUUGGUGGGGUAACGGCUCACCAAGGCGACGAUCCCUAGCUGGUCUGAGAGGAUGACCAGACACAUAGUAACUGAUGCACGGUCCAUACUCCGACGGUAGGCAGCAGUGGGGAAUAUUGCACAAUGUGCGCAAGCCUGAUGCAGCCAUGCCGCGUGUAUGAAGAAGGUCUUCGGAUUGUAAAGCACUUUAAGUUGGGAGGCGUUACCAACAGAAUAAGCACCGGCUAACUCCGUGCCAGCAGCCGCGGUAAUAC